AAGUUAGCGACGAUUAUAAAAGUAAUUCCUCGUUUUCAUUUGCUUAAUUUGGAUAUGACAAACAUCUUAUUACAACCAUAGAAUCUGAACUAC
rnacentral:snoRNA from 1 species